AGAGUUUGAUCAUGGCUCAGAUUGAACGCUGGCGGCAGGCCUAGCACAUGCAAGUCGAACGGUAACAGGAAACAGCUUGCUGUUUCGCUGACGAGUGGCGGACGGGUGAGUAAUGUCUGGGAAACUGCCUGAUGGAGGGGGAUAACUACUGGAAACGGUAGCUAAUACCGCAUAACGUCGCAAGACCAAAGAGGGGGACCUUCGGGCCUCUUGCCAUCAGAUGUGCCCAGAUGGGAUUAGCUAGUAGGUGGGGUAACGGCUCACCUAGGCGACGAUCCCUAGCUGGUCUGAGAGGAUGACCAGCCACACUGGAACUGAGACACGGUCCAGACUCCUACGGGAGGCAGCAGUGGGGAAUAUUGCACAAUGGGCGCAAGCCUGAUGCAGCCAUGCCGCGUGUAUGAAGAAGGCCUUCGGGUUGUAAAGUACUUUCAGCGGGGAGGAUGGGAGUAAAGUUAAUACCUUUGCUCAUUGACGUUACCCGCAGAAGAAGCACCGGCUAACUCCGUGCCAGCAGCCGCGGUAAUACGGAGGGUGCAAGCGUUAAUCGGAAUUACUGGGCGUAAAGCGCACGCAGGCGGUUUGUUAAGUCAGAUGUGAAAUCCCCGGGCUCAACCUGGGAACUGCAUCUGAUACUGGCAAGCUUGAGUCUCGUAGAGGGGGGUAGAAUUCCAGGUGUAGCGGUGAAAUGCGUAGAGAUCUGGAGGAAUACCGGUGGCGAAGGCGGCCCCCUGGACGAAGACUGACGCUCAGGUGCGAAAGCGUGGGGAGCAAACAGGAUUAGAUACCCUGGUAGUCCACGCCGUAAACGAUGUCGACUUGGAGGUUGUGCCCUUGAGGCGUGGCUUCCGGAGCUAACGCGUUAAGUCGACCGCCUGGGGAGUACGGCCGCAAGGUUAAAACUCAAAUGAAUUGACGGGGGCCCGCACAAGCGGUGGAGCAUGUGGUUUAAUUCGAUGCAACGCGAAGAACCUUACCUGGUCUUGACAUCCACGGAAGUUUUCAGAGAUGAGAAUGUGCCUUCGGGAACCGUGAGACAGGUGCUGCAUGGCUGUCGUCAGCUCGUGUUGUGAAAUGUUGGGUUAAGUCCCGCAACGAGCGCAACCCUUAUCCUUUGUUGCCAGCGGUCCGGCCGGGAACUCAAAGGAGACUGCCAGUGAUAAACUGGAGGAAGGUGGGGAUGACGUCAAGUCACCAUGGCCCUUACGACCAGGGCUACACACGUGCUACAAUGGCGCAUACAAAGAGAAGCGACCUCGCGAGAGCAAGCGGACCUCAUAAAGUGCGUCGUAGUCCGGAUUGGAGUCUGCAACUCGACUCCAUGAAGUCGGAAUCGCUAGUAAUCGUGGAUCAGAAUGCCACGGUGAAUACGUUCCCGGGCCUUGUACACACCGCCCGUCACACCAUGGGAGUGGGUUGCAAAAGAAGUAGGUAGCUUAACCUUCGGGAGGGCGCUUACCACUUUGUGAUUCAUGACUGGGGUGAAGUCGUAACAAGGUAACCGUAGGGGAACCUGCGGUUG
rnacentral:rRNA from 1 species